GAGAACUUAGGAUAAUUAUAAGACCAAGAGCCUUCAAAGCCCUUAACGGAGGUUUAAAUCCCCCAGUUUUCG
rnacentral:tRNA from 1 species